GAAUUUAAGUGCAAAAUUUCUUUAAAAUAUGUUAGUCAUUUAAAUAUAGCAAUAUAUGAAAAAGAUCAUGUGAACAAGUGGAUUUUAUCAAGGAAUUCAAGGAUCAUUUACAAUUUUCAAAACUAAUCAACUGAAUUUGCUUUUUCAAUAGAACAAAAGAAAAUAAUUCCAGGAUUAUGUCAAAUGCAUUUAUGAUAAAAUAUCUUGACAAAUUAGCAAUAGAAGAAAAAUAUUUCAAUAUGAUAAAGGGAAGAUAAAAUAAGCUACAGCUUACUUUAUACAUUUUAAUAUGAAAAACACAUCAAGAUAAUUAUAGUCACUAUUGGUAGAGUUUUCCUCAGCCUUGAGUCUU
rnacentral:lncRNA from 1 species